UCAGAGUCUUUGAGUAGUUUUUUUCGAAGAGAGGCGACGCUUCGUUCGAGGUGCUCUCGUUGUCGGCUGUAUUCCUGCUGGAUGUCCUGAUCGACACGCACUGACUCAGGCUAGCUGUAUGACACUCUCCUUCAGCUGUUUUGGCUCUUGGAUGAGACCAGCAGCGUGGUGAACAUCUGUUUUGAAUCUCUUCAACACAGCUUCAACGUCAUGAACCUGUCAAGACGAAACAGAAAAUUAUAUAGGAGUUGAGAUGUGACCGUAUAACUGCCUGCAACUUGGUCUCUUCAACAUGAAGUUGUUGGAUUUCAGCCUUGCGCUCCUCGAUCUCUUUCUGAAGAGUUCCAAACUACAACAACAACAACAACAAAGUUCAAUGUCAAAAAGAAUCCACAAAUGAACAAAAAAAAGAUCUCAAAUUCUGGUCUCGUUCAUCUCUCAGCCGUCGCUCAUACUUUCCCUUAAUAUCAAGUAUCUCACGAUCAGCAUCCUCCUCAAUCUGACGCAUCGUCUCCUGAUGUUCCGCUUCUUGCUCCACAGCCUUCUUCUUCAUCUACACAAAACCAAACGCCACACAUAAACACAAAAAUGCCAAACCACAAAGCAAAGUGUCUGAGCAACUCACCUCAUCAACCUCUGUCUGCUUGUCUGCUACCACGGUUUCAUAAUAUUCGUCUUCCUGCUGUCUUUGAGAUUUUGCCUGAAGUUCUUGGUAUUUCUCGUAUUCGGCCAUUAAUUUCUGGUUGUUUGUUGACUCGAGUUCUUGAAUUUCGCGUCCAUUUUGACUAAUAAC